UACGGAGGGUGCAAGCGUUGUCCGGAUUUAUUGGGUUUAAAGGGUGCGUAGGCGGCCCUGUAAGUCAGUGGUGAAAUACUGCAGCUUAACUGUAGCAUUGCCAUUGAUACUGUAGGGCUUGAGUACAGAUGAGGUAGGCGGAAUUGAUGGUGUAGCGGUGAAAUGCAUAGAUACCAUCAAGAACACCGAUUGCGAAGGCAGCUUACUAAGCUGUAACUGACGCUGGAGGCACGAAAAGCCGUGGGGGAUCGAAACAGGG
rnacentral:rRNA from 1 species